AUGGUAGAGCUAAGAGAGCGUGCAUUGGAAAGUCUGGCCGGGGCCUGUGCGCUACCUAGAAACAAGUCUGCACUGACCAUAAGCAGCAGGUGCGCGAAAGAGCGAGAGACUUUGAAGAAAACAGAAACGACAGGUACCAAACUGAGCAGCCUGCAGAGAGCCACUCUAACAGAAGACCCUACAUGCCGUCUUCCCAACUCAGUUCUGCCUGGACAGGAUUUGUUAGUAGCAAACAAUUUACUCUUUGUGAGCCCUGUAUGAAACAUUUUAAGGAUCUAGCUCCCAAGACAACAAAUUAUCUGGCAUCUAAUCACGGCUACCUGGUUGUAUUGCUGCUGGUCUAUUAAAAUUCCAAAUCAGCUUAUUACUGUCUUUACAUAUAUCUUCAGUGAACAAAAACAAGAAUCCUAACAGCACUGUCUCUUUAAGUCAAUAGCAAAGCUGGAAACCAUCAAAACAAUAAGGCACAAAAACCUGGAGAAUUCAUUUUAAGUUGCUAUCAAAGGAAGCAAAAACAAAAAAUGUGGAGGUCAUUAGAGCAACAACCUCUCUCCUAGUAAAAAAACAAAAUGCCAUGCUUGCAGAAACUGACCAAGACAAAGGAAGAAACUUAUGUCUAUUAAAGAUUUUUCACCCAAGCAGCCAUUUUCAUUUGAUCCUGAGCAUUGUGAGAAAAUCAAGUAGAUUCGAAGCUUCACACCUGUAUGUGCCUAUUUCCAUGAAAGACUUGAAAUAGUUUAAAACAAGACGAUGUGGUAAGAUGAUCUAUCGAGACAAAUCAUUUCUCUAGAAAGAGCUGAGGUUAGAAAAUAAAAGUUUUGGGACACCUGGGUGGCUCAGUGGUUGAGCAUCUGCCUUUAGCUCAGGUUGUGAUCCCCGGAUCCUGGGAUUGAGUCCCACAUCAGGCUCCCCUCAGGGAGCCUGCUUCUCCUUCUGCCUAUGUCUCUGCCUCUCUCUCUGUCUCUCUCAUGAAUAAAUAAAUAAAAUCUUUAAAAAAUAAAAGUUUCUCUCCAAUGGCAUCAUGGGGACCUAUGCUCUGCUUGGAAGCUAUAUUGUCAAUAACAAUAUAGCUAUGAGACGCAUCUGCAGCAACUGACACAGACCACAGACUCCUCGGAGCCCUCCAUGACUCCUGGGAGAGCCGGUCACUUCUGUGGCCCAUCAAAAGAAUCAGAAACCUCCCCCAGUUUUUCAAGAUCAAGCAAGCCUCUGGAGUUCUUGAGUAAUCCAGAGAGAAGAGCCAUAAUAAGGCUGAUAUUCUUCUACUAACCCUGGAGAUUGGAAAGUAACAAUUUGUUCUUAAUCGUUUUUUUUUAAGUGAGAAGCAUGACAUUUUUUAACAACAAUAUUAUGGUUCAUAUCUGUUCAAUAGUAAAAUAGAAACAGACCUAGAAAAUUCAACUCAAAUAAAAAGUUGACAUGAACAUGCCAACUCUAGUGGUCAACUGUCCUGGCCUCUAUGCUGUUUUGAAAUGAUCGGUCUGUGUAGAAUGGUAAGUAGGACUUGUUUUUAAAUGGAAAGUUCCAGAGCAGAUUUAUGACUGACUUGGUUUUAAGUUUUGAGAAAAUAUUGAAUGUGGCCUUCAAACUCCCUAAGUGUAUCUACCUAGAGAGGAUAAAUGCCUCCUGUCAAAUAUAAAGAUCAUAUCCCUUCCUGACCCUUCCAUUAGGAGCCAAGUUCAGGCAGGUACUUGAAAUUUCCCAGCUCCUCCACGAUAGUGACCACUCCCUCUUACCUGUUACUCAACUCCUGCACAGGUUUGGGUAAUGUCAUCAGUAACCCAAAGGCAAACAUUGGACUCUGAUCUUGCAGAGCAAGUGAUUCUUUGAGUUUAUAGAGGGUAGGAAUUUCCACAGGAAAUCCCACGUAGCUUACUCCCCUGGGUGGACCCAGGACCAGUGCAUUCCAGGACUGUUAUUUCCUACAGACCAACCUCAGAUUCCUAGAAGCAACAGCUCUCGAUCCAUCCCAUAUCUGUGAAUGACAGCCACUGCCUGUAUUCCAUUGGUAAAAUAUGAAGUAUGUCUGGAAAAAUGCUCUCUGUCUUGGCUAGGCCACCUCUGUGGCACUGCUUCAAGUUUUGGGGACCACAAUUUAAAAGAGGUGUUGAGUGACUAGAAUAUGCCCAAGGGAUAUAAUCAAAAUUCCCAAAGUAAUGUCCAAUGACAAAUGAUUGAAAAAGGACUAGAGAUGUUUAGCCUGAUAAAGACAGACUGUUUUAUACUCUUGUCAUUACAAUUUUGUAAUAAAAGGUUUGUUUUUGUGUAGGAAAGUCUUAUAUAUAUCUUUUUGGUUGGAUAUAAGAGGCAAGCAGAUUUCAGCUCCAUAUAAGGAAGUACUCUCUUAUAAUUAGAAAUAUACUGCCUUGUCAGAGAUUGGGGUUCCCUCCCUGAAAAAAUUUCCAUUCACCAUCUGUUAGCAAUACUUUAGAAGACUAUUUUGCACUAAAUAAGAGGUCAGACUCCUAACCUCCAAGGUAGCUUGAAAUUCCAGGUUUCUAAUCAUUUAUAAACUUGGUUAGUUCAUAAUAUACUUACAAAAAUACUUUUUUGCAUGAGAAUUCUGAAGCAUUUCUGGAACCAAUAGUUUAUUCUAAAGCAGCUCAAUAAGCCAGAAACACUUGAUUUGAUGCCAGUAGGUAUGAUUCCCAUUACCUUACCGAUGGGGUAGUAGAUAAAACUAUGAAAGCAUAGGCUUCAAUAUUUGACUUAAGUUCCAAUCCCUGCUCACCAUUUGUAGAUUAUUGUGACCUAAGCAAGUAUCUUAAGCUCACUAAACUUUAAUUUCCUCAUCUGUAAAAUAGGAUAAUACUAUUUAGCUACAAGAUUGUUGUAAGGAUUAAAUGGGAUAAUGAAUAUAAAAAGCUUAGCAAAGUCCCUGGCUCAAGGAAACUCAAUAUAGGGCAGCUGUUAUUAUUAGAUAACUCAAAUGCCCCAUACCCCUAUGCCUGAGCAUUGCAGUGUUUGAAGACUUUCUACAUGCAUCCUAGACAUCCACAUAUAGAAGAAGGUGGAUGGGGGAGGGAAAGGACAAAAACUUUUGUAUUAGCCAUGUAUAAAUAAAUACAUCUUAACAUACAUGUCUUUUUUUACUUUGAGAUAACUAUGAAUUCACAGUCAGCUGUAAGAAAUAAUCCAGAAAUAAUAAGAAAUAAUCUCACGUGCUCUUUACACAUUACAUGCCCUUUUAUGUAAUGCUUUUUGUUUUAUAAAAUUAGGCAUUGUGUCAGGUUUUGUCUCCUUCCAACUUACUGACGCAGAGUAGAAAUAAUAAAUGUUGCUGAAAGCACGGAGAACCUGGGAGAACUCCCACCCUUGGGACCAGUGCAGUCACUCUUGAUUUUUCCCUUUAGCUUGACACACUUCACUCCCUGCUGUGGAUUCCUUUCUACGUAAUACCUGUCCACAGCUUUGUAAAAAGCAGAACCCCUGUUCUGGGAGAUUGAACUUGGGAUCUUAGAAAAUGGUGGUGUUGUGGCUCAUUGAGCAAAGGAUGUAGUUUGUGUUUAACAUGGCAAUAUUCCAAUUUAUAUUGAUUAGAUCAAUUAAUAUUCCAGUGCUGAGGUGAGGUAGUAUGUUUUCAUUUGUCCAAAAACAAUUAAUUAAUCUAUAUUGCCUGAGCUCCAGGGGAAAUGUAUCUUAGGAUAUGUCUGGGGUUGCUUUCAAUACAGUUGGAGGCUUUCAUGUGUAAAAUUCUGUAUUUAUCAAUUACAGGCAAUGAGAAAACUUGAAAUUCAUAAGAGAUUUAGUAACUCAAAAGCCAUGAAGAGUACAGUAAGAGCCAAGGAGGGACAAUCUGGGCAUAAUUAGGCAAUACACCAAACCAAAAGUUCCCCAAAUGGCCAAUCAACAGAAUCUCAUGGGAAGCUUUCAAAAAUAUAUAGAUUUCUACACCAAAAUGAACCCAUCCCAACCCCUGAGGGUUCUUAUCCAGGGAGCUGAGGCAAGGCCAGGGAAACAUUUCUCUAAAAACUUCACAGGGAUUCUGGCAGCCAAGGUUGAGCACUACCAUUCUGAGCAGGCAUAUUUCAAGAUGGUGAGUGUGUGCUCAUAUUAGGAAAGAGAAAAUACACUUCUUUCCACCUCCAACUCCAGAAUUUUCUGAUUGCAUUCACUUUAAAAUUAUUUUUUUUUACAACGUAGGUGAUGAAUUUGUUUUUCAAGUUACUUCUUGGACAUUAUCUAGUUGGAAGUAUUAAUAUGCCAAUUUUGUGGAAGAGUAGAACUCUAAUUGAUCACUAAUUUGAUAAAAGAAAAAAUACUGUAACUUACUGCCAGAAUUAACUCACUUGCAGUAAAAAAUCUGACCAAUGCCAACAUCUACCUUACCCAGCAGGUGGUGAUAGAAGAUUUGUGACCAAAGGGGUGCCAGGUGCACUUCUACAAUGAGGAGAUCAAGAGCCCUUCUUGGCUGAGCUGCCUGCACCCUGCCCACUGACAAACUCCUUAGCACCACCACAGAUUCUGCCCCAAGUGCUAUCACUAUUUGUGAAUACUGGAACAUUCCCUAUAAAGACAAUAUAAGGAUUGGGGUCAAAUCUCUGGUAUGGGAGCAUCAACACAUUGUUUAAUUAAAAGCCCAUCUGAGUACGGAGCUAUUACAUGCUGUAGCAAUAAAAUUAAAUAGUGUCACUAUCUGUUCUUUAAUAGCUUACAAGCAUUUUAUAUUCAGAGUUCCCAAGCUAGAAUUUCAAGGAAUAUCCCUUUAGUCUUUGGCUGUGAAAUAAUCUCUGUGCUAUUUUUCCCGUUCUCUUUAUUUCAGUCUAUUUAUAACUAUGCUUAAAUGUUACUCAAAAUGGACAUAAAUGGUGCAUACGCAUAGAAGAACAUUAAGUGCAAGCAAAAAAGCUUAGUCUGUAGGUUGCAAUGUUGAAUAGAGGUGUC
rnacentral:lncRNA from 1 species